rnacentral:rRNA from 1 species
AUUGAACGCUGGCGGCAGGCUUAACACAUGCAAGUCGAGCGGACCGGCGGUCGCGUGCGUAAUGCCUAGGAAUCUGCCCGGUACUGGUGGAUAACGUCCGGAAACGGGAGGUAAUACCGAAUACUCUCACAUUUGCCUCGGUCGGAUUUGCUAGUUGGUGGGGGAGAGGCCUACCAAGGCCACGACCCGUAGCUGGUCUGAGAGGAUGAGCAGUCACACUGGGACUGAGACACGGCCCAGACUCCUACGGGAGGCAGCAGUGGGGAAUAUUGGACAAUGGGCGAAAGCCUGAUCCAGCCAUGCCGCGUGUAUGAUGAAGGCCUUCGGAUUGUAAAGCACUUUUAGUAGAGAAGCGGUACCUGCAGAAUAAGCACCGGCUAACUACGUGCCAGCAGCCGCGGUAAUUC